rnacentral:rRNA from 1 species
AUUGAACGCUGGCGGCAGGCUUAACACAUGCAAGUCGCACGAGUGGCGGACGGGUGAGUAAUGCUUGGGAAUCUAGCUUAUGGAGGGGGAUAACUACGGGAAACUGUAGCUAAUACCGCGUACCAUAGGAUGAGCCCAAGUGGGAUUAGGUAGUUGGUGAGGUAAAGGCGCACCAAGCCGACGAUCAGUAGCGGGUCUGCGAGGAUGAGCCGCCACACUGGGAUUGAGACACGGCCCAGACUCCGACGGGAGGAAGCAGUGGGGAAUUUUGGACAAUGGGCGCAAGCCUGAUCCAGCCAUGCCGCGUGUCUGAAGAAGGCCUUCGGGUUGUAAAGGACUUUUGUCAGGGAAGCGGUACCUGAAGAAUAAGCACCGGCUAACUACGUGCCAGCAGCCGCGGUAAUAC